rnacentral:rRNA from 1 species
AUGACGGUGUUAAGUUGGAACUGUCGGGGUCUUGGGCGGCCCCGGACAGUUCAGGAGCUUGUGUGCCUUGUGCACACGUACAAGCCUAAGCUUGUGUUCCUCUCUGAAACGCGGCAGAGCAAUGCGUACGUCAAUAAGCUAAGAUGGAGGCUGGGCCUCAAACAUUGUAUUGCGCAACCCGGUACAGGUAAAGGUGUCAGUAUUGCGCUCUUCUAUGAUGAU